AUGCAGACACAUCACCAAAGACUUAAGAGAGACAGAAGAAAUGCCUUCUCCACGGGCAGAUGGAGUGAGCAGUGUAGAAUCCAUGACCACAGUUCAAGGCAUCUCAGAGACUCAUUUCUGAAGCCAGGGCAGAAGAAUCAUGCUGCAUCUCUACAGAAACGUAGGUUUGUCAGCGGUUUCUGUUUUUGUUUCUCUCCCAUUAUUUUUCCAGGUAUUUUUCUUCUUUCUUCUCUUGACUUCCUACCUCCUGCCCCUUCAUGUUUUUUUCUUCCCUUCCUUCCUCUUCCUCCUCUAGGAAAACAGGGGACUUUUACUUUUGUGUACUGGCUGAAAAAAAUGUAACAUCAGGAGACACUUUGAUAAUCCUGUGAUUGUGACCGUGAUAAGGAGGAGAGAAGGAAGAACAGCAAAACUAAUUUGCCCCAUACAAAAUCACUCACCUUUUGCAGACAAACUGCCCAUUUUCUCUAUUCCAUUCAAGCUACAUUGGGUGGGAGAAUUUCGAUCAUAAACUCCUGAAGAUGGCGUUCCCGUCAUGGCUCAGUGGUUAACAAACCCAACUAGUAUCCAUGAGGACACAGGUUCGAUCCUUGGCCUCGCUCAGUGGGUUAAGGAUCCAGCAUUGCUGUGAGCUGUGGUGUAAGUCGAAGACGCAGCUCAGAUCCUGUGUCGCUGUGGCUGGGACGUAAGCUGGCAGCUACAGCUGCAAUUCAACCCCUAGCCUGGAACUUCCAUUUGCCCGCAGGUGCAGCCCUAAAAAGACAACAACGACACACACACAAAAAUCACUGAAGAAGGUAAAACUGAAUUAUUUGUGUUAGGGUCUUUUUUAAAGGAAAGAUCAGUUUUUCUCUGGUUUUCAUAGAUGUCACGUUCAAGUUCAUGUGUUUUUCAUGCUGGGGAGGUGGUGGGAGUGGAUUGUAUUUCAUGCAAGCAAUUCUUCUAAGGAGAUGUAUCAGUGAUAGUCAAUGCAGACUUCAAAACCUACUUCAUCUGAGACAGUGAACAUCUAGGGAAACAUGAAUGUACCUUUUUUCUAUACAACUAAAACCCAUCAGAGUAGCCCAGGUAGCCAAUAAUUCAAGUGCCAUUAUCUCAUUAUCCAUAGGAUCAAUUUUGGUCCCUGUGGUGCACCUGUAGACACUUGCUGCUGCCAACUGGGAAAGAAAAAAGCACAACCUAAAAGUUAUGAAUUACGGUUUGUUCAGCAGAUUUUCUGGGGACUUUAAGCCCAGGAGGCAGCCUCUCAGCUCCGAGGAUCGGUUCUGAAAAGGCCAAGGAGGAGCCAGGAUAUAGAAGAGUUUUUGCAGCAAAGACCAGAUAACAGCAAAAGAUUACUGUU
rnacentral:lncRNA from 1 species